UUUAAAGGUUCUGUAGGUCGCCCGGGUAGGUCGUCGUCGAAAAUUGAUAUUUCAUUUGACACUUCAACCAAAACAUGUUUCGAAUGAAGACUAAAUGCCAAGUCCGAUCGUCAGCAGAGCGCGCACGUGAUUCGUGUAUUUGAAAAUGCAACCGUUAAUGAACGAAGUCGAGUCAAAGUGCUGGAUCGUGCAAUCGACGUCCGUAAUAACUUGUUCUCAAUUGACUGCCUGCCCUUUUUUGACAUGUCAAGACACUUCAGGUGACAUCAUCUGGGACAGUUGGAACAACUCUACGCUCCACAUUUAAUUCAGUGUCAAUCCUGAUUUCAUCAACAUGGACUGAAGGAACAAAAGUCAUGCAAAUAUGCUGUUUUGUGUAGUGGUGUCACAAGAUAAAGUACUUCCUUGAUGAGUUCAGAGAUGGAUGAUCAAUCAAACAUAGAAUAUGGUUUCUAGCAACCCUGCAGGUAUCCUUCAUACGCCAAUGAGAGUGCAUAAAGCUUGCACAUAUUAUAAACGGUAUCUGUGCUAUCCCAAAUAUAUAACAUUAGACCAAUUACAUUGCCAAAUUACAAUGGAGCCUAUCAAAGAAAAGGUAGACUCCAGCAAAACGUAAUUUGAAUAUUAAAAUAGAGAAAAACCAAAGAAGCACUGAUAAUUUCAUCAAAAUCUGACUAAGAUAAGAAGGUUGUGAAAUUUUGAGUUUAAAAAAACAUUAAUAUGCAAAACACAGGUCAAAUGAGGAUCAAAGACGUUCUUUUGUAUUUUAUCAUAUGAAACAUAGAACAGAUCCAUUGUCUUUGGCAGAGAGUAAUUGGUCUACCGGUAAUCUUAUACUUAGGGGGAUAAUAAUUUAAGAGAUGCUUUACAUAGGAAUAAGUAAUUAUGUAGUACAAUACAUUUUUCAGGAGCAACUUGGUCUGCUCAUCAUUAGAGUGCAGUGGGCUGAUUCAUAAAUCUGUUAGUAAGUUAAGAUUGAUUUUAAGAACGACU
rnacentral:lncRNA from 1 species